rnacentral:rRNA from 1 species
AUACGUAGGUGGCAAGCGUUAUCCGGAUUUACUGGGUGUAAAGGGCGCGUAGGCGGGGGUGCAAGUCAGAUGUGAAAUCUAUGGGCUUAACUCAUAAACUGCAUUUGAAACUGUAUCUCUUGAGUGCUGGAGAGGUAGACGGAAUUCCUUGUGUAGCGGUGAAAUGCGUAGAUAUAAGGAAGAACACCAGUGGCGAAGGCGGUCUACUGGACUGUAACUGACGCUGAGGCGCGAAAGUGUGGGGAGCAAACAGGAUUAGAUACCCUGGUAGUCCACACUGUAAACGAUGAAUGCUAGGUGUAGGGGGUAUCGACCCCUUCUGUGCCGCAGUCAACACAAUAAGCAUUCCGCCUGGGGAGUACGGCCGCAAGGUUGAAACUCAAAGGAAUUGACGGGG